UUUUCUUUUUCUUCCUCAUUAAAAUUUUUCAUUCCUUCCUCUUCUCCCUCAAACUCCCAAACGGAGCGUAAGUUCGAGUCCUGAGCUCUCCACGCCGGCGUCGAUCGCUGAGCACUUCGUCGGAGAAACCAGGGCUCUCGAAGGAAGUUGUUCCGCCGACCCUACCAUCUCCGCCGCGUCUCUUCUCUCUCAUCGACUCUUCGUUCGGGAUCGCUAGAAAGUCGAGGAGGCAGGCGAGGCGCGUCGUUACUCUUCUCUUGGUCUCGAAUUUUAGUCAUCUCUCAGUGGAUCACAGACCACACAAUCAAUGGAUCUGGAGACAGAGAACCGCCUUGCUGCAUUACUGAUGGAAGAGGCAAGGAGAUUGCGCUUGCAAGCUGACAAAGAAGGUGUUCAAGUUUAUCUCCACCAGCCUAAUGUAAGGAGUCGUCCAAAUUCACGGUUUCUCACUGCCACAGUUCUAGGAGUGCAACAAGCAAAUCGAACUGUCGAGGUUGGUGAAAUGUGGCGUGCUCGAGAAAAGGAACUGGAGUUGGAGGCUAAGCUGAAGAGUGGCACAAAAGAUGAAAGCACAUUGAGGGCUGACAAACAGCACACUAAUUUGAUAAAAUCAAGUUCUAGUUCAAGGCACAAACAAGCCAAUAGAGAUCCUGCUGUUUCUUCUUCAUCGAGCAAACGGGGUCCUGAGGAUCGCAACUUUGAUGAUGAUGAUGGUCUAAGGGAUGCUGAAAUUGAAGAGUUUCUUCACUCAAGGGCCAAGCGAGGCAGAGGUGCCAUAGGUUCAAGGAUGGAUGAACCUGGUCCAUAUCUCUCAUCAACAUCUUUAGAUCAUGAUGGACAGCCCUUGUUGAAUCCUGAUGUGCGGGUGAAAGAAGAAUGGGAACGCCGGGUUCUUGGUCCAGAAAAGCCUUCUGUUCUAAGAUCUUAUGAGCUGCUUAAAGAUGAUUCUGAUAUAAAGGUUAAGACUGAUGAUUCAUGUAUCGCAAAGAAACACCAUUCCAAAGAGAAGAAGAGAUCAGAGGAGAAAAAGUCAAGGAAAACAAAAAGGAAGGAGAAGAGAUCCAAGCAUCACCAUAAGAGUCGGAGAAGAGAGUGACUUGAGAAAUAUAAAGCAAGGCCAUCAAGAGUUGCUGAUAGGCCACUUUGGAAGCUCACAGCAGACAGAUCAUUGUCAAGACUCAGCAAUCCUCCUCAUGUACACUCUUUCUUCUCCUUACUAAUUAUAAACAGGUUGCUUCGAGGCGUGCUCGCCGAUUUCUAUUAGUUCGAUGUUUGCAAGCCGUCACGCUACCAAGCAGUCUAUUAAGAAUGGAAAGCAAUGAAGCAACACAUAUGUUUCUUUUUGGGAGAAGAAAUAUAGAGAUAUUUAUUUGUUGAAAGAAUUAUUUAUAAAAGUGAAUAUGCUCUAUGAGAUAAUUAAACACUCAUUGCAUGUAUCCUUUAUUUUUUGAGAGAAAACAUUGCAUGUAUCUUAUUGAAGAAAGAGAACUUAUAAUAGGUGUUUUCUGAAAGAAA